UACAGAGGUGGCAAGCGUUGUUCGGAAUUACUGGGCGUAAAGGGCGCGUAGGCGGCCAUCUAAGUCAGACGUGAAAUCCCCCGGCUUAACCUGGGAACUGCGUCUGAUACUGGACGGCUCGAGUAUGGGAGAGGGAUGUAGAAUUCCAGGUGUAGCGGUGAAAUGCGUAGAUAUCUGGAGGAACACCGGUGGCGAAGGCGGCAUCCUGGACCAAUAUUGACGCUGAGGAGCGAAAGCCAGGGGAGCAAACGGG
rnacentral:rRNA from 1 species